ACAAAACUGAAGAUAAAAUGAAAUGGGUGAAUAUUUAUAAAAGUAUAAAAUGGAGGAAAUAACAAAUAUAAACAAUCUUAUCUCAGAGAAUCUGAGUAAAUCAUAAAUGAAAUCCAAGGAAAAAUUCCUAGUUUAAUUAUGAAUUAUAUCACACAUUUAAAGAACAGUUAAUCAUUCUGCUAUGUAAGCUGUUCACAAAGUAAUAGAGCAAGAUGCCACCUUUACCAAAUUCCUUCUAUGAGAAAAAUAUGGUCCUGACAAACUAAAUUAGGGAUAAAGCUAAUAAAGAAAAAUACACACCAAUAUCACUAAUUAUUUAGUUAACCAAGCAGGUAUAAUAUAUUAAAAAUUAUUCACUAUGAUCAAUUUAGAUUUAUACCAGAAGUAUAAGGUUGGCUCAGAAAUGCCAUAUAUUUGAAAAACUACGCAUUUAUAACACAUCAUAUUAAUAAAUCACAUAAUCAUUUCAGUUCGGAGGGGAAAAAAAGCCUCGGGGAAAAUAUACUUUUAUUUCUGAUAUCCAGUGAGAAUAUUAAUUAUGUUUUUUUAAUAUCUGUAAAAUCAGGAACUAGUUUUUAUUUGUAACAGAAUAACACCAUAGUCUUUCCCAGUAAGAUAAUACAAGAUUCCUCACUGUCUCUGUUAUUAUUUGAAUACCUUUCUAGAAAUGCUCCUAUAGCACUGACAAUGAAAAGUAGCUCAGGGAGAACAAAUCCAUCAAGGGAGAAGAAUAUCCCUUCUAUUGGCAGAUAAUAUGAUGUUUACUUUAAGAAUUAUGGGGUUUCAGAAAAAACACUCAUCAAAAUGACAGCCCCAGUAAAGUUGUAAGAUAUAAAAUGAAACUACAAGUUGUCACCUUUUGUCUACAUCACUUACAAUCCAAGAGGAAGAGAUGGACAGAAAAACUCUACUAAAUCCUCUGUGAUGCAUUAAAAAAUGGAUUUAAGAGACUGAGACACGGUUAAGAGUGAUCUAAACUCUGCCAUAAAGCACUGCUGAGUGUUUUAUGAGUAAAGUACAUUGGAGAGAGAUUCAUUACUCAUGGUUGGAGCGUGUCAAAAUGUUUUAAAAAAUUGUGAUGACAUUUAAAUUAAUUCAUAAAUUGAGUUUUUUUUUCAAGCAAUAUAUUACCAAGGCGUUCCUGUAUAGGACCAUAUAAGUCAUAAUGAAAGUUCAUUAAUUUCAAGGGAAAUAGUGGGAAAAAAUAAUAAUGAAGGGAGCUUAGCAUUAUCAAAUCUCAGAUGAUAGUAUGAAGCAGUAAUCAUCUAUUUGAAUGGUUUAUAUGGUUUAAGAAAAGGACUAGAGAAAUGGGACUUAGGAGUAAAGGAUACAGUCGUUCAGUGUUUUAUAAACCCAAAGAUAUUGAUAUCAUGGAUAUGGUAGAUAGAAGAGUUCUUGGGAAAUCACAUUGGACUAGCAUUUUAUACCACGUAAUCGUCAUAAGCCUGAAAUGGAUGUAUGACAGUAAUAUAAAAGGUCAUAGCACCAAAAAUUAAGAGUAAAGGUUCCAUAUAUACCAAAAUAUUCCUAAUUUUUUUUCCUUAACAGAAAAUUCUCCAAAUAAAAUUAGUCCUUGUCUCUUAGGAAACGGAUAAACAAAAUGUGAUAUGAAUGUAGUACGAUAUUAUUUAAUGUAAAAAAAAUGACUAUAAAAUUCAGAAACUUGGGCAGACUUGUAUGAACCUUGGGAACAUUAAUGAUAGUAAUUAUAAUUUCAAUAGUACUUUAAAGUUUACAGAAUUCUUUGGAAAUGUGAUCUCACUUUAUCCUCACAACUCUAAAAAGUUUGAAUAGUUAUCAAAAUAGAAAAUGCCCAGAUUCACAGAACAAGAAGUAAAGGGCUGAAAUAACAGUUCAUAAAAAGAAAUGAAACAAGCCAUAAAUGACUUCCAAAAAGGGAGAGAGGACCUUAGACUUUAUAAGUAAAUUUGAUUAUUCAGAAAAAAGAGUCCAUGGUGUUGUUAACCUAAACCAAGAAAAGUAAAAACAGAAAGAAAACUAUGGAUCAAUAUCCCUAAUGAACACGGAUGCAAAACAAGGUGGAAAUGAAGGGAAAAGACCUUAUGUAUAAAAAAGUAUUUAUAGCAGUUCUCUUUGUGGUGACAGAACCAACAAAAUGGAAACUAAGGGCGUGAGAAUGAUUUGGAGAAUGGGUAAACAAACAAUGCUAUUUGAAUGUGCUGUUAUUCAGCCAUUUUUCUGUCAUGUCGGAUUCUCUGUGACCCAGUUUGGGGUUUUCUUGGCAAAGAUACUGAUUGGCCAUUUCCUUCUCCAGCUCAUUUUACAGAUGAGGAAAUUGAGGCAAACAGGGUGAAGUGACUUGCCCAGGCUCACACAGUUAGUGUCUGAGGCUGGGUUUGACCUCAGGUUUACUUGACUCCAGUCCUGGCAUUCUAUCCAUUGCACAAUCUAAGGUGCCUUAUAUGAACACAGUGGAAUAUUACUGUGCAAGAAGAGAUGGCAAAGGGGAUACAUAGGGAAGAUGUGUAUGAACUGAUGCAGAGUGAAGUGAGCAAACCAGUAGAACCAUUUAUACAGUAAUAAUAAUUUUGUAAAGACAAAUUUGAAAGUCUUAAGAAAUUUGAUUAUUACAGUGAAUUACGAUACCAGUAGAACUAUGAUGAAACCUUCUGUCCAUUUUAUGACAGAGAGGUGAUACCUCAAAUUUUGUUUUGUUCAGUUAUGUCUUUAUUGCAAGAAUUUUGCUCUUUCCCCCCCAAAUAGGGUGGGAGAGGAGUAAAGUGGGGAAGAGAGAAAAUAGAUUUAUUUAACUGAAAAAGAACUAAACUUGAUUUUUAAAAAAGGAAACAGUAGGGAAGAUGGAUUGGUUAGGGGGAAAACUCAAAGGAAGACAACCAGUUUGGAGAUUGUUGCAGUAGCGUCUGCCAAAAGAAAGGAGGACCUGAAGAAGGGUGGUUAUAUCAGCACUGGAGGGAAAAGUGGGAGAGAUCUUUUCAAGGUUGAGAGCUUGGUAAUUAAUUGGAUAUGGGGCAGGGCUUAUCAGGAAUGGGUAAGAGUUCAGGUUCUGAGCUUACAAACCCGAGUGACUGUGAAGAUGGUGGUAGUGCUAUGAACAGAAAUCAAAGCCUUAUGGGAAAGCACAGGUUUGGGGAAAGAGGGAAGAUGUUCAAUUUGUGGUGCUGGCCGUAAGGAGCUCUGGGGAAAGAUCAUGGAUGGCUAUGCGGAUGUGAGUGUCAGUACUUAAACUGAAAAGAUGAGCAAAGUAGUUCCCCGAGGGAGAGAAUGGAGGAAGACUUAAGAGGAAAGUCCAGGAGAGAACCUUGCUGCAUAUCUCUAGUUUUAUAAUGGAAGGAGAAUAGAAAGUCAGCACAAGAAAGAAAUGGUCAGAGAGGGAGAAGGAACAUGGAGUACGGGGUAUCACCAGGGAAGAGAUGUUGGUGACUGAGGCCAAUAUACACACCGGCUACUUAUGGCCCAAGAAGGUCAAAGACAAAAAAGAAAAGCUCUGUAUAUCUCUGUAUAUAUAAUACUUGUCUUAUAUAUACUCUCUCUAUUCCCAAUAGCACUUCUGGUAGGACAAAAACUAGAAAUGAAGUGGAUGCCUAGUGGUAGGUGACAAAUUGCUGUCUAAAUUGUGGCAGGUAAAUGGGAGAGGUAUGAAUUAUGGCCCCAAAAUAAGAAGCAGGAGGAAUUCCAAGCAACACAAUCCAGGGCACAUUAGUGCGUGCUAGGGAUACAAAAGCAGAUGAGAUAGUCCUUACCUCCAAGUUAUCUGGAUUCUGUUGAGGAGCUGCAUAUAACCUGUACACAUUCACCAUGACAAUCUAGACUCAAAAUCAAUCCAGGGACUAAGGACUGGGGAAAUCAUCAGGGGAGAGAUCUCUUGAAGGAGAAGGCAUUUGACCUGAACCUUAAAGGGAAGGAAAAGUCCCAAUUACUAGAGGUGAUUCCAGACAUGGGGUGACUUUCACUGUACAGAAGAAUGAAGGUGGAAGGGAGAGGGUCCAGUAAAUCAGCUUGGUUGUAGUGGAGAAUGCUGUGGGAGGAGCAAGAUACAGUCAGUUUGUAGUGUUCCUGACAAUUUUGCAAUUUAUCCCAAAGGCAAUAGCAUCCACCAGGGUUUCUGUACGGAGAUUAGUCCUGUCCUUACUAAUCCAGAUCCCUGCCUCAUAGUUGCCUGACCCCUUCUACAUUUAAGGAAUCAGCAUGGGAUAGUUGAAAGCUUGAACUAGGGUGUCUGUGGUGUGCAUGGAGGGAAGGGGUGGUGGUGGGGGUGACAUUGAUGAAAUUUAAAGUAAUUGGAUAUGAGGAGUGAGUGAACUGAGUGAAGGGCCAAGGAAGACUCCUAGCUUGGAAACCCGGAAAUGAGAAAAUGCUGAAGAUGGCUUGUAAAUUGCCAAACAUGGGAAGACUUGUUGGAACUGAGAAGAAGUGAAGAAAGUUGAACAGAAGAACAUACCCGAUGACUACAAUAAUGUCAACAAAAGCCAGCACUAAAGGACAUUAGAACAUGGAGGAGAUCCGGCACCAGAGGAUGGAACCCAGGACAUCUCAAAGCAGAAAUGGAGACUUCAGAAUUUACCAAGACUGGAAAAAUCAUCAAAUAUGGAAACCUGGUUUCUUCAAUCUACAGAAGAGCUCCAAGAUCUGCAGCCAGGGAAUGGACACCAGCAUGAGAACAUAAGUCCCAGAAAACACCUUUUGUAGCUCCGUGGGCCUGUGGUCGCCAUUAUCAUCAUCAUUGUCGACAUUAUUGUUGUCCUCGUCGUCGUCCUCAUCCUCGUCGUCACUGCUCCAUGCUGUCUGGACCAGAGUGAUCCUUCUUUGUAAUCCAAAGUCAAAUCUACAGAGAAAGCAUGGCCCAUGGUCACAAAGGGACAUUGCUGCUGCUGCUCAACACUGCCAGUGCCAUUAGAAUUCUAAAUUACUUGAGAAUGCCUCAUGGAUUUGGGCAAGUUCUCUUUCGUUUUCCAGUCUAUGAACUCCCCAGAGAUUCAAUCCAGUUGUUCUGGGUUUCCAUUUUCCCUAAAGUGAAGCCUUUACAUCUCGGAAAACUUUGACAGAAAGCUAAGAGCAAGACUCAAGAAUAGAACCCAGCAUUCCUAGCUAUUGCAUCCAGUGUUCAAUCAUAUUAACAAUUUCUUGAAAGAAACACUACUAAAUUAUGAUCAUGGCUGGCCAGCUCAGACAUAUUCUUCAAGUGUAAUUGAUAAAGAAUACUCAGGUGAAUUUGUGGAAGUAGAUCACUGCUUCCUCCUAAUCUUCCCUAGUGCUCCUCUUUUGGGGAACUGUUUUAAUUUGUUUCAGGAGUGGAAGUUCUUGCACCCCCUAAAAAACCCCAAGAUGGUGGAACAGAGAGAACAUUCCAGUGGAACUCUACCAACUUGCCUUUCCAAAAAACUUGAAAAUAUCAAAUAAUCAAAUUCUGAAGUGCCAUACAAAGAAAAAGUUUGUCCAGCUGAAAAAAAUGUUUGAGGUGAGGAGAAGUUUGGGUCACUGGCUCAGAAGGCAAAGGGAAGGGCACUUACUAUGGAUCUUGGAGGACGGGAGGCACAGUGAUAGCUGCAGGAAUAGUUGUCACAUUUCUUAAAGUUUUCACUGCCAAGAAACCAAGUAUUAGACAACUGCUAAAAAGGUGAUUAGGGGCAGCUCUGUGUGGGCACGGUAGACAUUACCAGUUUCACACAAAGGGGGAGAGAGGCCAAUGCCAUCACAAAAAACUGGUGGUAACACCUGGAGCUCCAGAGUGAAGACGAUCACUUGUUAUCACAAGUAAACACAUUCCCUGCUACUGCUCCAGGGUGAAGAGGAGCACCUGCCAGCAUGAUGACAAGGAAGAGGAAGUCCCCCCUGCAGCUACUAGGUGAAGAGACCUUGCUAUAACAAAAAAAGCAAUAGUCCCAGCUGCAUCUCAGGGGUGCAUAGAGGCCUUUCCCAUUACAACAAAGCAGAGGUAUCGGCUGCAGUUCCAGUUUGAAGAAGACCACUUUCCCAUCACAAGUAACCAGAAGUCCCAGCUGUGGGUCCAGGGUGAGGAAGAGCACUUGUCAUCACAAUUAAUCAGAAGUCCCUGCUGCUGCUCCAGGGUGAAGAACAACAGUUGCCACCACAAGUUACCAGAAGUCCCUGAUGCUGCUCCAGGGUGAAGAGGAGCACUUGCCAUCACAAGUAACUAGAAUUCCCUGUAACAAGCUCCAGGGUGAAGAGGAGCACUUGCCAUCACAAGCAAGUAGUGGUCCCAGCUGCAGCCAUGGGACGGAGAGAGGGCUUUGGCAUCACAACAAACCAGAGGUCCCAGUUGCAGCUCCAGUUAGAAGAAAAACACUUUGCAUCACAAGUCACCAGAAUUCCCAGCUGCGGGUCCAGGGUGAAGAAAAGAACUUGCCAUCACAAGUAGCCAGAAGUCCCUGCUGCUGCUCCAGGGGGAAGAGGAGAACUUGCCAUCAAAAUGAAGCAGAGGUCCCAGCUGCAGCUCUGGGGUGGAGAGAGGCCUUUGUCAUCACAACCAAGCAGAGGUCCCAGCUGCAGUUUGCAUUUGAAGAACACUUCCCAUCAUCACAAGAAACCAGAAGUCCCUGCUGCUACUCCAGGGUGAAGAAGAACAAUUGCCAUUACAAGUUACUAGAAGUACCUGCUGCAGCUCCAGGGAGAAGAGGAAGACUUGCCAUCACAAGUAACCAGAAGGCCCAGCUGCAGCUACUGGGUGAAGACCAAUUGCCAUCACAAAAAUGGAAAGAACGCAGCUGAAGCUCCAGGGUAGAGAGAGGCCUUUGCCAUCAAACCCAUGUAGAGGUCUCAGUUACAGCUCCAGGAUACAGAGAGGCCUUUGCCAUCACAACCAAGCAGAGGUACCAGCUGCAGAUCCAGGAUGGAGAGAGGCCUUUGCCAUCACAACCUAGCAGAGUUCUAAGCUGCAGCUCCCGUUGGAAGAAGAAAACUUGCCAUAACAAAUAACGGGAAAUCCCAGCUGCAGGUCCAGUGUGACGAAAAGAAAUUGCCAUCACAAGUUACCAAAAGUCCCUGCUGCUGCUCCACAGUGAAGCGGAAAACUGGCCACCACAAGUAACCAGAAGUCCCUGCUGCAGCUCCAGGGUGAAGAGCAACACUUGCCAUCACAAGUUACCAGAAGUCCUUGAUGCUGCUCCAGGGUGAAGAACAGCAGUUGCCAUCACAAGUUACAAGAAGUCCCUGCUGCUGCUCUAGGGUGAAGAUGAACACUUGCCAUCACAAGUUACCAGAAGUCCCUGCUUCUGCUCCACAAUGAAGAGGAACACUUGCCAUCACAAGUUAGCAGAAAUCUUUCCUGCAGCUACUGGUUGAAGAAGACCAAUUGCCCUAAGAAAAAUGCAGAGGACGCAGCUGCAGCUUAGGGAUGCAGAGAGGCCUUUGCCAUCACAACUAAGCAGAUGUGCAAGCUGCAACUCCCGUUUGAAGAGGAACACUUCCUAUCACCAAUAACUGGAAGUCCCAGGGCAAGGUCCAGUGUGAUGAAAAGAACUUGCUAACACAAGUAACCAGAAGUCCCUGCUGCUGCUCCAGGGUGAAGAGGAACACUUGUCAUCACAAGUAACCAGAAGUCACUGCUGUUGUCCAAGGGUGAAGACGAACACUUGCCAACACAAGUUAACAGAAGUCCCUGCUGCGGCUCCAGGGUGAACAGGACCACUUGCCAUCAAAAGUUACCAGAAGUCCCUGCUGCAGCUCCUUGGUGAAGAGGACCACUUGCCAUCACAAGUUACCAGAAGUCCCUGCUGCAGCUACAGGGUGAACAGGACCACUUGCCAUCAAAAGUUACCAGAAGUCCCUCCUGCAGUUCCAGGGUGAAGAGGAACACUUGCCAUCACAAGUUACCAGAAGUCCUUGAUGCUGCUCCAGGGUGAAGAACAACAGUUGCCAUCACAAGUUACAAGAAGUCCCUGCUGCUUAUCCAGAGUGAAGAUGAACACUUGCCAUCACAAGUUACCAGAAGUCCCGGCAGCAGCUGCAGGGUGAAGAGGAUCACUUGCCAUCAAAAGUUACCAGAAAUCUUUCCUGCAGCUACUGGGUGAAGAAGACCAAUUGCCCUAAGAAAAAUGCAGAGGACUCAGCUGCAGCUUAGGGAUGGAGAGAGGCCUUUACCAUCACAACUAAGCAGAUGUGCAAGCUGCAACUCCCGUUUGAAGAAGAACACUUCGUAUCACCAAUAACUGGAAGUCCCAGCGGCAGGUCCAGUGUGAUGAAAAGAACUUGCCACCACAAGUAACCAGAAGUCCCUGCUGCUGCUCCAGGGUGAAGAGGAACACUUGUCAGCACAACUUACCAGAAAUCCUUGCUGUAGCUCCAGGGUGAAGAAGACCACGUGUGACCACAAGUACCCAGAAGUCCCUGCUGCUGUUCUAGGGUGACGAGGAACACUUAUGACGCCAAGUAACCAGAAGUCCCUGCUGCUGCUCCAGGGUGAAAGGGAACACUUGCCAGCACAACUUACCAGAAGUCCCUGCUGCAGCUCCAGGGUAUAGAGGAACACUUGCCAGGUCAACUUACCAGAAGUCCCUGCUGCUGCUCCAGGGUGAAGAGGAACACUUGCCAGCAUAACUUACCAGAAGUCCCUGCUGCUGCUCCAGGGUGAAGAGGAAUACUUGCCAGCACAACUUACCAGAAGUCCCUUCUGCAGUUCCAGGGUGAAGAGGAACACUUGCCAUCACAAGUUACAAGAAGUCCCUGCUGCUUAUCCAGAGUGAAGAUGAACAUUUGCCAUCACAAGUUACCAGAAGUCCCUGCUGCAGCUCCCGGGUGAAGAGGACCACUUGCCAUCAAAAGUUACCAGAAAUCUGUCCUGCAGCUACUGGGAGAAGAAGACCAGUUGCCCUAAGAAAAAUGCAGAGGAUGCAGCUGCAGCUUAGGGUGUAGAGAGGCCUUUGCCAUCACAACAAAGAAACUGUCUCAGCUGCAGCUCCACGAUGGAGAGAGGCCUUUGCAAUCACAACUACACAGAUGUCCCAGCUGCAGCUUAUGGGUGGAGGGAGGCCUUUGCCAUCACAACUAAGCAGAGGUCUAAGCUGCAGCGCCCAUUUGAAGAAUAACACUUCCUAUCACCAACAACUGUAAGUCACAGUUGCAGGUCCAGUGUGACGAAAAGAACUUUCCACCACAAGUAACCAGAAGUCCCUGCUGCUGCUCCACAGUGAAGAGGAAGACUUGCCAUCACAAGUUAACAGAAGUCCCUGCUGCAGCUCCAGGGUGAAGAGUAACACUUGCCAUCACAAGUUAACAGAAGUCCUUGAUGCUGCUCCAGGGUGAAGAGUAACACUUGCCAUCACAAGUUAACAGAAGUCCUUGAUGCUGCUCCAGGGUGAAGAACAACAGUUGCCAUCACAAGUUAUAAGAAGUCCCUGCUGCUGCUCCAGGGUGAAGAUGAACACUUGCCAUCACAAGUUACCAGAAGUCCCUGCUACAGCUCCAGGGUGAAGAGGAACACUUGCCAUCACAAGUUACCAGAAGUCCCUGCAGCAGCUCCAGGGUGAAGAGGACCACUUGCCAUCACAAGUUACCAGAAGUCCCUGCUGCAGCUACAGGGUGAACAGGACCACUUGCCAUCAAAAGUUACCAGAAAUCUUUCCUGUAGCUACUGGGUGAAGAAGACCAAUUUCCCUAAGAAAAAUGCAGAGGACGCAGCUGCAGCUUAGGGGUGGAGAGAGGUCUUUGCUAUCAAAACAAAGUAGAGGUCUCAUUUAUCGCUCCAGGAGAGAAUGAGCCCUUUGCCAUCAGAACUACGCAGAUGGCCCAAGUGUAGCUUAGAAGUGGAGAGACCCCUUGGCCAUCACAACUAAACAGAGGUCCAAGCUGCAGCAACCGUUUGAAGAAGAACACUUCCUAUCACCAAUAACUUGAUGUCCCAGCUGCAGGUCCAUUGUGACAAAAAGAACUUGCCACCACUAGUAACCAGAAGUCCCUACUACAGCUCCAGGGUGAAGAGGAACAGUUGCCAGCACAACUUACCAGAAGUCCCUGCUACAGCUCCAGGGUGAAGAGGAACACUUGCCAGCACAACUUACCAGAAAGUUGUAGCUCCUUGCUGUAGCUCCAGGGUGAAGAAGACCACGUGUGACCACAAGUACCCAGAAGUGCCUGCUGCUGCUCUGGGGUGACAAGGAACACUUAUGACCCCAAGUAACCAGAAGUCCCUGCUGCCGCUACAGGGUGAAGAGAAACACUUGUCAUCACAAGUAACCAGAAAUCCCUGCUGCUGCCCUAGGCUGAAAAGGAACACUUGCCAACACAACUUACCAGAAGUCCCUGCUGCUGCUCCAGGGUGAAGAGGAAUACUUGCCAGCACAACUUACCAGAAGUCCCUGCUGCUGCUCCAGGGUGAAGAGGAACACUUGUGACCCCAAGUAACCAGAAGUCCCUACUGCCGCUGCUGGGUGAAGAGAAAAACUUGUCAUCACAAGUAAGCAGAAGUCCCUGCUGGAGCUCCAGGGUGAAGAGGACCACUUGCCAUGGAAUGUUAGCAGAAAUCGUUCCUGUAACUACUGGGUGAAGAAGACCAAUUGCCCUAAAAAAAAUGCAUAGGACACAGCUGCAGCUUAGGGUUGAGAGAGGCCUUUGCCAUCACAACUACAUAGAAGUGCCAGCUGCAGCUUAUGGGUGGAAGUAGGCCAUUCCCAUCACAACUAAGCGGAGGUCCAAGCUGUAGCUCCCGUUUGAGGAACACUUCCUAUCUCCAAUAACUGGACGUCCCACCUGUAGGUCCAGUGUGACGAAAAGAAUUUGCCACCACAAGUACCCAGAAUCCCUGCUGCUGCUCAAGGGUGAAGAACAACUGUUGCCAUCACAAGUUACCCUGAAGUCCCUGCUGCCGCUCCAGGGUGAAGAGGAACACUAGUCAACACAAGUAGCCAGAAAUCCCUGCUGCUGCUCCAGGGUGAAGAGAAACACUUUUCAUCACAAGUAACCAGCAAUCCCUGCUGCUGCUCCAGGUUGAAGAGGAACACUUGCCAGCACAACUUAACAGAAGUCCCUACUGCCGCUCCAGGGUGAAGAGGAACACUUGCCAUCACAACUUGCCAGAAGUCCCUUCUGCAUCUCCAGGGUGAAGAGGAACACUUCCCAUCACAAGUUAUUAUAAGUCCCUGUUGCAGCUCCAGGGUGAAGAGGAACACUUGCCAUCACAUGUUGUCAGAAGUCCCUUCUUAAGCUCCAGGGUGAAGAGGAAUAAUUGCGAACAUAAGUACCCCUAAUUCCUGCUGCUGCUCGAGGGCGAAGAACAACUGUUGCCAUCAGAUGUUGCCUGAAGUCCCUGCUGCCGCUCCAGGGUGAAGAGGAACACUUCUGACCACAAGUAACCAAAAGUCCCUGCUGCAGCUCUAGGGUGAAGAAGAACAUUUCUGACCACAAGUAACCAAAAGUCCCUGCUGCAGCUCCAGGGUGAAGAGGAACACUUGCCAUCACAAGUAACGAGAAAUCCCUGCUGCUGCUCCAGGGUGAAGAACAACAGUUGCCAUCACAUGUUGCCAGAAGUCCCUGCUGUUGGUCCAGGUUGACGACGAACACUUUUGAUCACAAGUAACCAGAAGUCCCUGCUGUAGUUCCAGGGUGAAGAGGAACACUUGUGAACAGAAGUACCCAGAAGUCCCUGCUGCUGCUCCAGGGUGAAGACGAACAAUUGUCAUCACAAGUAACCAGAAGUCCCUGCUGCGGCUCCAGGGGGAAGAGGACCACGUGCCAUGAAAUGUUACCAGAAAUCUUUCCUGAAGCUACUGGGUGAAGAAGACCAAAUUCCCUAAGAAAAAUGCAGAAGACACAGCUGCAGCUUAGGGGUGGAGAGAGGCCUUUGAUAUCACAACAAAUCAAAGGUCUCAGUUGCAGCUCUGGGUUGGACUGAGGUCUUUGCUAUCACAACCUAGCAGAGGUCUCAUUUACUGCUCCAGGAUAGAACGAGGCCUUUGCCAUCACAACUACGCAGACGUCCCAACUGCAGCUUAGGGGUGGAGAGAGGCCUUUGCCAUCCCAACCAAGUAAAGGUCCAAGCUGCAGCUCCCCUUUGAAGAAGAACACUUCCUAUCACCAAUAACUAGACGUCCCAGCUGCAUGUCCAGUGUGAGAAAAAGAACUUGCCAACACAAGUAACCAGAAAUCCCUGGUGCUGCUCCAGGGUGAAGAACAACAGUUGCCAUCACAACUUGCCGAAGUCCCUGCUGCUGCUCGAGGGUGAAGACAAACACUUGUCAUCACAAGUAACCAGAGUUCCCUGCUGCAGCUCCAGGGUGAAGACGAACAGUUGUCAUCACAAGUACCCAGAAGUCCCUGCUGCUGCUCCAGGGUGACGAACAAUAGUUGCCAUUAAAAGUUGCCUGAAGUCCCUGCAGCUUUUCCAAGGUGAAGAGGAACUCUUGCCAUCACAAGUUACCAGAAGUCCCGGCUGCUGCUCCAAGGUGAAGAGGACCACGUGCCCUGAAAUCUUUUCUGAAACUACUGGGUGAUGAAGAUUAAAUUCCCUAAGAAAAAUGCAGAAGACACAUCUGCAGCUUACGGGUGGAGAGAGGCCUUUGAUAGCACAACAAAUCAGAGGUCGCAGUUGCACCUCUGGGUUGGACAGAGGUCUUUGCUAUCACAACCUAGCAGAGGUCUCAUUUACCGCUCCAGGAUAGAACGAGGCCUUUGCCAUCACAACUACGCAGACUUCCCAACUCCAGCUUAGGGGUGGAGAGAGGUCUUUGCCAUCACAACUAAGCAGAGGUCCAAGCUGCACCUCCUGUUUGAAGAACACUUCCUAUCACCAAUAACUAAAUGUCCCAGCUGCAGGUCCAGUGUGAAGAAAAGAACUUGCCUCCACAAGUAACAAGAAGUCCCUCCUGCUGCUCCAGGGUGAAAAACAAUAUUUGCCAUCACAAGUUGCCAGAAGUCCCUGCUGCUGCUUCAGGGUGAAGAGGAACACUUGUGACCACAAGUACCCAGAAAUCCCUGCUGCUACUCCAUGGUGAAGAACAACAGUUGCCAUCACAAGUAAUCAGAAGUCCCUGCUGUACCUCCAGGGUGAAGAGGAACACUUGUGAUCACAAGUAACCAAAAGUCCCUCCUGCAGCUCCAAGGUGAAGAGGAACAACUUGCCAUCAAAAGUUACCAGAAGGCCCUGCUGUAGCUCCAGGGUGAAGAGGAAAAGUUGUGACCACAAGUACCCAGAGGUCCCUGCUGCUGCUCCAGGGUGAAGAGGAACACUUGUGACCCCAAGUAACCAGAAGUCCCUGCUGCCGCUACAGGGUGAAGAGAAACACUUGUCAUCACAAGUAACCAGAAAUCCCUGCUGCUGCCCUAGGUUGAAAAGGAACACUUGCCAGCACAACUUACCAGAAGUCCCUGCUGCAGCUCCAGGGUAUAGAGGAACAAUUGCCAGGUCAAUUUACCAGAAGUCCCUGCUGCUGCUCUAGGGUGAAGAGGAACACUUGCCAGCACAACUUACCCGAAGUCCCUGCUGCAGCUCCAGCGUAUAGAGGAACACUUGCCAGGUCAACUUACCAGAAGUCCCUGCUGCUGCUCCAGGGUGAAGAGGAACACUUGUGACCCCAAGUAACCAGAAGUCCCUGAAGCCGCUACAGGGUGAAGAGAAACACUUGUCAUCACAAGUAACCAGAAAUCCCUGCUGCUGCUCCAGGUUGAAGAGGACCACUUGCCAUCAAAUGUUAGCAGAAAUCUUUCCUGUAACUACUGGGUGAAGAAGACCAAUUGCCCUAAGAAAAAUGCAUAGGACAGAGCUGAAGCUUAGGGUUGAGAGAGGCCUUUGCCAUCACAACUACAUAGAUGUGCCAGCUGCAGCUUAUGGGUGGAAGGAGGCCAUUCCCAUCACAACUAAGCAGAGGUCCAAGCUGUAGCUCCUGUUUGAAGAACACUUCCUAUCUCCAAUAACUGGACGUCCCACCUGUAGGUCCAGUUUGACGAAAAGAACUUGCCACCACAAGGAACCAGAAGUCCCUGCUGCAUCUCCAGGGUGACGAGGAAUACUUGUGACCACAAGUACCCAGAAUCCCUGCUGCUGCUCAAGGGCAAAGAACAACUGUUGCCAUCACAAGUUACCCUGAAGUCCCUGCUGCCACUCCAGGGUGAAGAGGAACACUAGUCAACACAAGUAGCCAGAAGUCCCUCCUGCUGCUCCAGGGUGAAGAGGAACACUUGCCAUCACAACUUGCCAGAAGUCCCUGCUGCAGCUCCACGGUGAAGAGGAACACUUGCCAUCACAUGUUGUCAGAAGUCCCUUCUUAAGCUCCAGGGUGAAGAGGAAUAAUUGCGACCAUAAAUACCCCUAAUUCCUGCUACUGCUCGAGGGCAAAGAACAACUGUUGCCAUCACAUGUUGCCUGAAGUCCCUGCUGCCGCUCCAAGGUGAAGAGGAACACUUGUGACCACAAGUACGCAGAAGUCCCUGCUGCUGCACCAGGGUGAAGAAAAACAGUUGCCAUUACAAGUUGCCAGAAGUCCCUGCUGCACCUCCAGGGUGAAGAGGAACACUUGUGACCACAAGUAACCAGAAGUCCUUGCUGCAGCUCCAGGGUGAAGAGGAACACUUGCCAUCACAAGUAACGAGAAAUCCCUGCUGCUGCUCCAGGGUGAAGAACAACAGUUGCCAUCACAUGUUGCCAGAAGUCCCUGCUGCUGGUCCAGGGUGACGACAAACACUUUUGAUCACAAGUAACCAGAAGUCCGUGCAUUAGUUCCAGGGUGAAGAGGAACAUUUGUGAACAGAAGUACCCAGAAGUCCCUGUUGCUGCUCCAGGGUGAAGAAGAACACUUGUGACCACAAGUAUCCCAAAGUCUCUGCUGCUGCUCCAGGGUGAAGACGAACAAUUGUCAUCACAAGUAACCAGAAGUCCCUGCUGUAGCUCCAGGGUGAAGAGGAACACUUGUGACCACAAGUACCCAGAAGUCCCUGCUGCUGCUCCAGGGUGAAGAACAACAGUUGCCAAUACAAGUUGCCUGAAGUCCCUGCUGCUGCUCCAAGGUGAAGAGGACCACGUGCCAUGAAAUGUUACCAGAAAUCUUUCCUGAAGCUACUGGAUGAAGAAGACCAAAUUCCCUAAGAAAAAUGCAGAAGACACAGCUGGAGCUUAGAGGUGUAGAGAGUCCUUUGAUAUCACAACAAAUCAAAGGUCUCAGUUGCAGCUCUUGGUUGGACUGAGGUCUUUGCCAUCACAACCUAGCAGAGGUCUCAUUUACUGCUCCAGGACAAAACGAGGCCUUUGCCAUCACAACUACGCAGACGUCCCAACUGCAGCUUAGGGGUGGAGAGAGGCCUUUGCCAUCCCAACCAAGUAAAGGUCGAAGCUGCAGUUACCCCUUUGAAGAAGAACACUUCCUAUCACCAAUAACUAGACGUCCCAGCUGCAUGUCCAGUGUGACAAAAAGAACUUCCCAACACAAGUAACCAGAAAUCCCUGGUGCUGCUCCAGGGUGAAGAACAACAGUUAACAUAACAUAUAACCAGAAGUCCAUGCUGCUACUCCAUGGUGAAGAACAACAGUUGCCAUCACAAGUUGCCAGAAGUCCCUGCUGCUGCUCGAGGGUGAAGACGAACACUUAUCAUCACAAGUAACCAGAAGUCCCUGCUGCAGCUCCAGGGUGAAGUCGAACAGCUGUAAUCACAAGUACCCAGAAGUCCCUGCUGCUGCUCCAGGGUGACGAACAAUAGUUGCCAUUACAAGUUGCCUGAAGUCCUUGUAGCUUUUCCAACGUGAAGAGGAACUCUUGCUAUCAGAAGUUAGCAGAAGUCCCGGUGGUAGCUCCAAGGUGAUGAGGAACACUUGUCAUCACAAGUACCCAGAAGUCCCUGCUGCUGCUCUAGGGUGAAGAAUAACAGUUUCCAUUACAAGUUGACUAAAGUCCCUGCUGCUGUUCCAAGGUGAAGAGGACCAUGUGCCCUGAAAUCUUUUCUAAAUCUACUAGGUGAUGAAGACUAAAUUCCCUAAGAAAAAUGCAGAAGACACAGCUGCAGCUUACGGGUCGAGAGAGGCCUUUGAUAGCACAACAAAUCAGAGGUCGCAGUUGCACCUCUGGGUUGGACAGAGGUCUUUGCUAUCACAACGUAGCAGAGGUCUCAUUUACCGCUCCAGGAUAGAACGAGGCCUUUGCCAUCACAACUAAGCAGAGGUCCAAGCUGCACCUCCCAUUUGAAGAAUACUUCCUAUCACCAAUAACUAAAUGUCCCAGCUGCAGGUCCAGUGUGAAGAAAAGAACUUGCCUCCACAAGUAACCAAAAGUCCCUCCUGCUGCUCCAGGGUGAAAAACAAUAUUUGCCAUCACAAGUUGCCAGAAAUCCCUGGUGCUACUCCAGGGUGAAGAACAAUAGUUAACAUAACAUGUAACCUGAAGUCCCUGCUGCUGCUUCAGGGUGAAGAGGAACACUUGUGACCACAAGUACCCAGAAAUCCCUGUUGCUACUCCAUGGUUAAGAACAACAGUUACCAUCACAAGUUGCCAGAAGUCCCUGCUGUUGCUCCAGGGUGAAGAGGAACACAUGUGAUCACAAGUAACCAAAAGUCCCUCCUGCAGCUCCCAGGUGAAGAGGAACACUUGCCAUCAAAAGUUACCAGAAGUCCCUGCUGCAGCUCCAGGGUGAAGACGAACAUUUGUCAUCACAAGUAAUCAGAAGUCCCUGCUGUAGCUCCAGGGUGAAGAGGAACACUUGUGAGCAAAAGUACGCAGAAGUCCCUGCUGCUGCUGCAGGGUGAAGAGGAACACUUGUGACCACAAGUAACCAGAAUUCCCUGCUGAUGCUCUAGGGUGAAGAGGAAUACUUGUCAUCACAUGUUACCAGAAGUUCCUGCUGCAGGUCCAGGGUAAAGACGAACACUUGUGACCAUAAGUACCCAGAAGUCCCUGCUGCUGCUCCAGGGUGAAGAACAACAGUUUCCAUUACAAGUUCCCUGAAGUCCCUGCUGCUGCUCCAAGGUGAAGAAGACCACCUGCCAUGAAAUGUUACUAGAAAUCUUACCGGAAGCUACUAGGUGAAUAUGACCAAAUUCCCUAAGAAAAAUGCAGAAGACGCAGCUGCAGCUUAGGGGUGGAGAGAGGCCUUUGCCAUCACAACCAAGCAGAGGUCCAAGCUGCAGCUCCUGUUUGAAGAAGAACCCUUCCUAUCACCAAUAACUGGACAUCACAGCUGCAGGUCCAGUGUAAAGAAAAGAACUUGCCUCCACAAGUAUCGAGAAGUCCCUCCUGCUGCUCCAGGGUGAAGAACAACUGUUGCCAUCAAAAGUUACCAGAAGUCCCUGCUGCAGCUCCAGGGUGAAGACGAACAUUUGUCAUCACAAGUAAUCAGAAGUCCCUGCUGUAGCUCCAGGGUGAAGAGGAACACUUGUGAGCAAAAGUACCCAGAAGUCCCUGCUGCUGCUGCAGGGUGAAGAGGAACACUUGUGACCACAAGUACCCAGAAGUCCCUGCUGCUGCUGCAGGGUGAAGAGGAACACUUGUGACCACAAGUAACCAGAAUUCCCUGCUGACGCUCUAGGGUGAAGAGGAAUACUUGUCAUCACAUGUUACCAGAAGUUCCUGCUGCAGGUCCAGGGUAAAGACGAACACUUGUGACCAUAAGUACCCAGAAGUCCCUGCUGUACCUCCAGGGUGAAGAACAACAGUUUCCAUUACAAGUUCCCUGAAGUCCCUGCUGCUGCUCCAAGGUGAAGAAGACCACCUGCCAUGAAAUGUUACUAGAAAUCUUACCGGAAGCUACUAGGUGAAGACGACCAAAUUCCCUAACAAAAAUGCAGAAGACGCAGCUGCAGCUUAGGGGUGGAGAGAGGCCUUUGCCAUCACAACAAAGCAGAGGUCCAAGCUGCAGCCCCUGUUUGAAGAAGAACCCUUCCUAUCACCAAUAACUGGACAUCACAGCUGCAGGUCCAGUGUAAAGAAAAGAACUUGCCUCCACAAGUAUCGAGAAGUCCCUCCUGCUGCUCCAGAGUGAAGAACAACUGUUGCCAUCACAAUUUGCCAGAAGCCCCUGCUACUGCUCCAGGGUGAAGAGGAACACUUGUGACGACAAGUAACCAGAAGUCCCUGCUGACGCUCUAGGUUGAAGAGGGAUACUUGCCAUCACAAGUUACCAGAUGUCCCUGCUGCAGCUCCAGGGUGAAGAGCAACACUUGCCAUCAAAGGUUACCAGAAAUCUUUCCUGUAGCUACUGGGUGAAGAAGACCAAUUACCCCAAGAAAAAUGCAGAGGACGCAGCUGCAGAUUAAGGGUGGAGAGAGGCCUUUUCUAUCAAAACAAAGCAGAGAUCUCAGCUGCAGCUCCAAGAUGGAGAGAGGCGUUUUCCAUCACAACUACAUAGAUGUCCCAGCUGCAGCUUAAGGAUGGAUGUAGGCCUUUGCUAUCACAACUAAGCAGAAGUCCAAGCUGCACCUCCCGUUUGAAGAAAAACACUUCAUAUUCCCCAUAACUAUACGUCCCAGUUGCAUGUCCAGUGUGACAAAAAGAUCUUGCCACCACAAGUAACCAGAAGUCCCUGGUACUGCUCCAGGGUGAAGAACAACAGUUAACAUAACAUGUAAGCAGAAGUCCCUGCUGCUACUCCAGGGUGAAGAACAACAGUUGUCAUCACAAGUAACCAGAAGUCCCUGCUGCUGCUCCAGGGUGAAGAACAACAGUUACCAUUACAAAUUGCCUGAAGUCCCUGCUGCUGCUCCAAGGUGAGGAGGAACACUUGCCAUCACAAGUUACCAGAAGUCCCUGAUGUAGCUCCAGGGUGAAGAGGAACACUUGUGAUCACAAGUUACCAGAAGUCCCUGCUGCUGCUCCAAGGCGAAGAGGAUGACUUGUGACCACAAGUACCCAGAAAUCCCUGCUGCUGCUCCAGGGUGAAGAACAACAGUUGCCAUUACAAGUUGCCUGAAGUACCUGCUGCUGCUCCCAGGUGAAGAGGAACACUUGCCAUCACAAGGUACCAGAAGUCACAGCUGUAGGUCCAGGGUGAAGAGGAACACUUGUGAUCACAAGUUACCAGAAGUCCCUCCUGCUGCUUCAGCGUGAAGAACAACAGUUUCCAUUACAAGUUGCCUGAAGUCCCUGCUGCUGCUCCAAGGUGAAGAGGACCACGUGCCAUGAAAGGUUACUAGAAAUCUUUCCUGAAGCUAGUGGGUGAAGAAGACCAAAUUCCCUAAGAAAAAUGCAGAAGAUACAGCUGUAGCUUAGGGGUGGAGAGAGAAGGCUUUGAUAUCAUAACAAAUCAGAGGUCUCAGUUGCAGCUCUGGGUUGGACAGAGGUCUUUGCUAUCGCAACCUAGCAGAGGUCUCAUUUACCAUUUCAGGAUAGAACGAGGCCUUUGCCAUCACAACUACGCAGACGUCUCAACUGCAGCUUAGGGGUGGAGAGAGGCCUUUGCCAUCACAACUAAGCACAGGUCUCAGCUGCAGUUCUAGGAAGUAGAGACACCUUUGCCAUCACAACCAAGAAGCUGUCUCAGCUGCAGCUCCAAGAUGGAGAGAGGCCUUUGCCAUCACAACUAAGCAGAAGUCCAAGCUGCACCUCCCGUUUGAAGAAGAACACUUCCUAUCACCAAUAAGUAGAUGUCCCAGCUGCAGGUCCAGUGUGAAGAAAAGAACUUGCCUCCACAAGUAAUGAGAAGUCCCUCCUGCUGCUCCAGGGUGAAAAACAACAUUUGCCAUCAUAAGUUGCCAGAAGUCCCAGCUGACGCUACAGGGUGAAGAGGAAUACUUGCCAUUACAAGUUACUAGAAGUCCCUGCUGCAGCUCCAGGGUGAAGAGCAACCUUUGCCAUCACAGGUUGCCAGAAGUCCCUGCUGUAGCUCCAGGGUGAAGAGGAACACUUGUGAUCACAAGUUACCAGAAGCCCCUGCUGCUGCUCCAGGGUGAAGAGGAACACUUGUGACCACAAGUACCCAGAAGUCCCUGCUGCUACUCCAGGGUGAAGAACAACAGUUGCCAUUACACGUUGCCUGAUGUACCUGCUGCUGUUCCAAGGUGAAGACGAACACUUGCCAUCACAAGUUACCAGAAGUCCCUGCUGUAGAUCCAGGGUGAAGAGGAACACUUGUGAUCACAAGUUACCAGAUGUCCCUGCUGCUGCUCCAGGGUGAAGAACAACAGUUUCCAUUACAAGUUGCCUAAAGUCCCUGCUGCUGCUCCAAGGUGAAGAGGACCAAGUGCUAUGAAAUGUUACCAGAAAUCUUUCCUGAAGCUAGUGGGUGAAGAAGACCAAUUUCGCUAAGAAAAAUGCAGAAGACACAGCUGCAGCUUAGGGGUGGAGAGAGGCCUUUGAUAUCAUAACAAAUCAGAGGUCUCAGUUGCAGCUCUGGGUUGGACAGAGGUCUUUGCUAUCACACCCUAGCAGAGGUCUCAUAUACCGCUCCAGGAUAGAACGAGGCCUUUGCCAUCACAACUACGCAGACGUCACAACUGCAGCUUAGGGGUGGAGAGAGGCCUUUGCCAUCACAACCAAGCAGAGGUCCAAGCUGCAGCUCCCGUUUGAAGAAGAACACUUACUAUCACCAAUAACUGGACAUCACAGCUGCGGGUCCAGUGUGAAGAAAAGCACUUGCCUCCAAAAGUAACCAGAAGUCCCUCCUGCUGCUCUAGGGUGAAGAACAACAGUUGCCAUCACAAGUUGCCAGAAGUCCCUGCUGCUGCUCCAGGGUGAAGAGGAACACUUGUGAUGUCAAGUAACCAGAAGUCCCUGCUGACGCUCCAGGGUGAAGAGGAAUACUUGCCAUCACAAGUUACCAGAAGUCCCUGCUGCAGCUCCAGGGUGAAGAGCAACACUUGCCAUCACAAGUUACCAGAAGUCCCUGCUGUAGCUCCAGGGUGAAGAGGAACACUUGCCAUCAAAAGUUACCAGAAGUCCCUGCUGUAGCUCCAGGGUGAAGAGGAACACUUGUGAUCACAAGUUACCAGAAGUCCCUGCUGCUGCUCUAGGGUGAAGAACAACAGUUGCCAUUACAAGUUGCCUGAAGUCCCUGCUGCAGCUCCAGGGUGAAGAGGAACACUUGCCAUCACAAGUUACCAGAAGUCCCUGCUGUAGUUCCAGGUUGAAGAGGAACAUCUGUGACCAUAAGUAACCUGAAGUCCCUGGUGCUGCUCCAGGGUGAAGAACAACAGUUGCCAUUACAAGUUGCCUGAAGUCCCUGCUGCUGCUCCAAGGUGAAGAGGAACACUUGCCAUCACAAGUUACCAGAAGUCCCUGCUGCAGCUCCAGGGUGAAGAGCAACACUUGCCAUCACAAGUUACCAGAAGUCCCUGCUGCAGCUCCAGGGUGAAGAGCAACACUUGCCAUCACAAGUUACCAGAAGUCCCUGCUGCAGCUCCAGGGUGAAGAGCAACACUUGCCAUCACAAGUUACCAGAAGUCCCUGCUGCAGCUCCAGCGUGAAGAGCAACACUUGCCAUCACAAGUUACCAGAAGUCCCUGAUGCUGCUCUAGGGUGUAGAAUAACAGUUUCCAUUACAAGUUGACUAAAGUCCCUACUGCUGUUCCAAGGUGAAGAGACCACGUGCCAUGAAAUGUUACCAGAAAUCUUUCCUGAAGCUACUGGGUGAAGAAGACCAAUUUCCCUAAGAAAAAUGCAGAAGACACAGCUGCAGCUUAGGGGUGGAGAGAGGCCUUUGAUAUCACAACAAAUCAGACGUCUCAGUUGCAGCUCUGGGUUGGACAGAGGUCUUUGCUAUCACAACCUAGCAUAGGUCUCAUUUACCGCUCCAGGAUAGAACGAGGCCUUUGCCAACCACAACUACGCAGGCGUCACAACUGCAGCUUAGUGGUGGAGAGCGGCCUUUGCUAUUACAACCAAGCAGAGGUCCAAGCUGCAGCUCCCGCUUGAAGAAGAACACUUCCUAUCACCAAUAAGUGGACUUCACAGCUGCAGCUCCAGUGUGAAGAAAAGGACUUUCCUCCAAAAGUAACCAGAAGUCCCUCCUGCUGCUCUAGGGUGAAGUACAACAGUUGCCAUCACAAGGUGCCAGAAGUCCCUGUUGCUGCUCCAGGGUGAAGAGCAACACUUGCCAUUACAAGUUACCAGAAGUCCCUGUUGCAGCUCCAGGGUGAAGAGCAACACUUGCCAUCACAAUUUGCCAGAAGUCCCUGCUGCAGCUCCAUGGUGAAUACGAACAUUUGCCAUCAAAAGUUACCAGAAAUCUUUCCUGUAGCUACUGGGUGAAGAUGACCAAUUACCCCAAGAAAAAUGCAGAGGACGCAGCUUCAGAUUAGGGGUGGAGACAGGCCUUUUCUAUCAAAACAAAGCAGAGGUCUCAGCUACAGCUCCGGGGUGGAGAGAGGCCUUUGCCAUCAGAAGAAAGCAGAGGUCUCAGCUGUAGUUCUAGGAUGUAGAGACACCUUUGCCAUCACAACCAAGAAGCUGUCUCAGCUGCAGCUCCCAGAUGGAGAGAGGCCUUUGCCAUCACAACUAAGCAGAAGUCCAAGCUGCAGCUCCUGUUUGAAGAAGAACACUUCCUAUCAGCAAUAAUUAGACGUCCCAGCUGCAUGUCCAGUGUGACAAAAAAACUUGUCACCACAAAUAACCAGAAUUUCCUGCUGCAGCUCCAGGGUGAAGACGAACACUUGUCAUCACAAGUAACCAGAAGUCCCUGCUGUAGCUCUAGGGUGAAGAGGAACACUUGUGAUCCUAAGUUACCAGAAGUCCCUGCUGUAGCUCCAGGGUGAAGAGGAACACUUGCCAUCACAAGUUACCAGAAGUCCCUGCUGUAGCUCCAGGGUGAAGAGGAACACUUGUGAUCACAAGUUACCAGAAGUCCCUGCUGUAGCUCCAGGGUGAAGAGGAACACUUGUGAUCACAAAUUACCAGAAGUCCCUGCUGCUCCUCUAGGGUGAAGAAUAACAGUUUCCAUUACAAGUUGACUAAAGUCCCUGCUGUUGCUCCAAGGUGAAGAGGUCCAAGUGCCAUGAAAUGUUGCCAGAAAUCUUUCCUGAAGAUACUGGGUGAAGAAGACCAAUUUCCCUAAGAAAAAUGCAGAAGACAUAGCUGCAGAUUAGUGGUGGAGAGAGGCCUUUGAUAUCACAACAAAUCAGAGGUCUCAGUUGCAGCUCUGGGUUGGACAGAGGUCUUUGCUAUCACAACCUAGCAUAGGUCUCAUUUACCGCUCCAGGAAAGAAUGAGGCCUUUGCCAUCACAACUACGCAGACGUCCCAACUGCAGCUUAGGGGUCGAGAGAGGCCUUUGCCAUCACAACCAAGCAGAGGUCCAAGCUGCAGCUCCCGUUUGAAGAAGAACACUUAAUAUCACCAAUACCUGGACAUCACAGCUGCGGGUCCAGUGCGAAGAAAAGCACUUGCCUCCAAAAGUAACCAGAAGUCCCUCCUGCUGCUCUAGGGUGAAGAACAACAGUUGCCAUUACAAGUUGCCAGAAGUCACUGCUGCUGCUCCAGGGUGAAGAGGAACACUUGUGAUGACAAGUAACCAGAAGUCCCUGCUGACGCUCCAGGGUGAAGAGGAACACUUGCCAUCACAAGUUACCAGAAGUCCCUGCUGCAGUUCCAGGGUGAAGAGCAACACUUGCCAUCAAUAGUUACCAGAAGUCCCUGCUGUAGCUCCAGGGUGAAGAGGAACACAUGUGAUCACAAGUUACCAGAAGUCCCUGCUGCUGCUCUAGGGUGAAGAAUAACAGUUUCCAUUACAAGUUGACUAAAGUCCCUGCUGCUGUUCCAAGGUGAAGAGGACCACGUGCCAUGAAAUGUUUCUAGAAAUCUUUCCUGAAGCUACUGGGUGAAGAAGACCAAUUUCCCUAAGAAAAAUGCAGAAGACACAGCUGCAGCUUAGUGGUGGAGAGAGGCCUUUGCCAGUACAACCAAGCAGAGGCCCAAGCUGCAGCUCCCGUUUGAAGAAGAACACUUCCUAUCACCAAUACGUGGACAUCACAGCUGCAGUUCCAGUGUGAAGAAAAGCACGUGCCUCCAAAAGUAACCAGAAGUCCCUCCUGCUGCUCUAGGGUGAAGAACAACAGUUGCCAUCACAAGUUCCCAGAAGUCCCUGCUGCAGCUCCAGGGUGAAGAGCAACACUUGCCAUCACAAGUUACCGGAAGUCCCUGCUGUAGCUCCAGGGUGAAGAGGAACACUUGUGAUCACAAGUUACCAGAAGUCCCUGCUGCUACUCCAGGGUUAAGAACAAAAGUUGCCAUCACAAGUUGCCAGAAGUCCCUGCUGCUGCUCCAGGGUGAAGAACAACAGUUCCCAUGACAAGUUGCCAGAAGUCCCUGCUGUUGCUCCAGGGUGAAGAGGAACACUUGUGACCACAAGCAACUAGAAGUCCCUGCUGACGCUCCAGUGUGAAGAGGAAUACUUGCUAUCACAAGAUACCAGAAGUUCCUGCUGCAGCUCCAGGGUGAAGAGGAACACUUGUCAUCAAAAGUAUCCAGAAGUCCCUGCUGUAGCUCCAGGGUGAAGAGGAACACUUGUUAUCACAAGUACCCAGAAGUCCCUGCUGCCGCUCCAGGUUGAAGAGCAAGACUUGUCAUCCUAAGUUGCCAGAAGUCCCUGCUGUAGCUCCAGGGUGAAUAGGACCAUUUGCCAUCAAAAGUUACCAGAAAUCUUUCCUGUAGCUACCGGGUGAUGAAGACCAAUUACCCCAAGAAAAAUGCAGUGGACCCAGCUGCAGAUUAGGGGGGGAGAGAGGCCUUUUCUAUCAAAACAAAGCAGAGGUCUCAGCUACAGCUCAGUGGUGGAGAGAGGCCUUUGCUAUCAGAAGAAAGCAGAGGUCUCAGCUGCAGUUCCAGGAUGCAGAGACAAAUUUUCCAUCACAACCAAGCAGCUGUCUCAGCUGCAGCUCCAAGAUGGAGAGAGGCCUUUGCCAUCACAACCAAGCAGAGGUCCAAGCUGCAGCUCCCAUUUGAAGAAGAACACUUACUAUCACCAAUAACUGGACAUCACAGCUGCAGGUCCAGUGUGAAGAAAAGCACUUGCCUCCAAAAGUAACCAGAAGUCCCUCCUGCUGCUCUAGGGUGAAGAAUAACAGUUGCCAUCACAAGUUGCCAGAAGUCCCUGCUGCUGCUCCAGGGUGAAGAGGAACACUUGUGAUGACAAGUAACCAGAAGUCCCUGCUGACGCUCCAGGGUGAAGAGGAAUACUUGCCAUCACAAGUUACCAGAAGUCCCUGCUGCAGCUCCAGGGUGAAGAGCAACACUUGCCAUCACAAGUUACCAGAAGUCCCUGCUGUACCUCCAGGGUGAAGAACAACAGUUUACAUUACAAGUUGCCUAAAGUCCCUGCUUCUGCACCAAGGUGAAGAGGACCACGUGCCAUGAAAUGUUACCAGAAAUCUUUCCUGAACAUAAUGGGUGAAGAAGACCAAUUUCGUGAUAUUCAUCUGGUAAACAUGGAAAGAAGCUGCUGUCCAAGUAAUUGAUGGUUUGAACCUGCUGUACCAAAGUUUUUUUCUAUGGAUCUCAACUUCGCCUUUGGAGUUCACUUUGAACUGCUUUUGAUUCAAUUCAUACGGACACCAGUUGUCAUUUUCACAUUGUCCUUCUCUGAUGUUUGAAAAGAUUGAAGGCAAAAGGAGAAGAGGAUGGCAGGAGGUGACAAAGAUGAGAGAGUGUCAUGGAAGGAGCAAACGUGAACUUGGACAGACUUUGUAAGAUAGCAGACAGAAGGGCCUGGUAUGCUAAGGUCUCUGGGGUCACAAAUCUUCAACGUUCAAAAUACCGGAGCCCAUAAAGUGAAUCAGAAGCAGGACAAACAGACAUCGGAUAACAAGACAGGGAUACACGAAGGAAGUGGGACUCAGAUGAGGACGUAUACAAUGGACGGGAACAAAGAAGACCCAAAGACAAGGAAUAUCCCAGAACAAUGAGAAUCCAUGACAUCUGCCCACCACAAUCUGUCCUGCCAUUCUCAAGACCAUGUGGCUUUCCUUCCCCUGCUUUGCUACCACAAGGAUGGAUACAGAACUUCCCACAACAAACACUGACAUCAUAUGGAGGAACCCGGUUUAUCUUCUUCUACGAUGGCAGAGUCAACUCUACAAAUGUACAUAGAAUAUAAGAGGGCCAAAAAGGAAUGGAAGGAAAGGAAAGGAAAGAGGAAAAAAAGGGAAGAGGAGGAAAAGGAAAUAAGCAUUUAUUAAGAACCUACUAUGUGUCAGGCACUGUGAUAAGCACUUUACUAAUAUUAUCUUAUUAAGUGUGAGGUAAGUGCUCCUAUUAUUCUCACUUCAAAAUGAAGAAACUGAGGCAGAGCAGACUAUUAGUUGUCACAUAGCUUAGGAAACCAAAGAUGGCACAGAUUUGAAGAGGCAGGGAAUAAUGAAUGUCCCAAACAAAAAUGGAAGGAACUAACAGAGGAGGGAACAACAGAGUGACAGAAGGAUGGAUGGGGUGAGUGUGAAAAUGUGAGAAAGAUGGAUGGGUUUCGAGUUCGAUUUCUAGCUAUCAAUUCUUGUACACUGAGGCAGGUUUGAAAGGUGAAGCAUGAAAAGCUUGGAAAACUGAGAUAGCCGGGAGAGUAUGAAAGUAGAGAUGUUGUGAUUUAGCUGUGCAGCGUUCAGAAUGAAUCACUCAGUAAGAGACAGAUGAGUAGGCCUAUGUAUAUGUGAUGUUUGGAUGCAAGGAAAGAACACUUGAGUGAGCGAUCGGUGGGUUCAUUGUUGUACUAAGUGGGAGUCGGGUGCAUUAUGAAAGCUAUCAGCAGAGUGGUGGAUGAAUGAGUAUACCUGGACUAUGGGAGAAUGAAUGGAGAAAAGGCAGAAGAGGAGAAUGUGUUUUGAAAGGCAGAAAGGGGUGAAAGGGGUUCAUUCAUGAGAAAGAGAAAAAGCUGAAAAAGGAUAGAACCAAACCCUGAUGGGGGAGGGAAUGUGAUGUGAAAUUGCCAAACUGAGAAGUGGCCAGGAAGAGCAGAAUGAUGGGAGAGAAUUAAUUCUGCGACAUUUCUAGUGCUCCCGUGUGUGAGAUACCAGUGAAUUUAGAGACUGAUUACUGAUGUUUGGCUGUUUAGAAUGACUGCCGGUGUGAGGGACAAAUGGAGGAGCUGAUGUAAAAAGUGAGAGUUGUAUGCAGAAAGAAAGUGGUAGAAGAGAAGAUCUACCUAGACUGAGAGAGAUGAAUUAAAGUAGAAACUUCAGCAUUGAGACACUAAUGGGAAUUGAAAUUUAAGAAGGGUUCAUAUGCAGACUCUUCCUCAUGCUCUCUGCCACAGAUCUGGACCCUCUGCCCCUUAAUCAUGUGCCACCACUUUGGAAAAGAUCAGAAAAGCUGCAAAAAAUUGAGGGGAGCCCAAGAAAAUGGUGUCUCCCCUGAAGUCAAAAGGAGACCCUGAGGGUGGGACCAUGUCAGAAGAUGAAAAAGAAACCAGAGCAAGAGAGCUUACAGUCCCUCAGAAGAAUAGGAAAAGACCGUGGCUACCCUAGCAAAGGUCCCAGCGGCCACAAAAGCCACCGCUCCUGCAACAAAGUGCCUGGGAUAUUUUCUAAGAAGGCCUCCGGCAAGAAAGGGCCACCCCGGCCAAAGCUGAUGUCAUCCUAACAGAAGCGGGAGCCCCCCCCCCCGAGCCACCCACCCAUGAGCAAAGGGGCCCCCAGGAAGUUAAGAAAGAAGAUGGUGACUCUGAAGAAGACAGUGAAGAUGAGAAGAGAGAACCUGGGCCACCCAGAGCUACAAAAGUGGGAGCAGCUCUAGCCAAAUACACUUAGAUGGUGGUAAUGGAGGAGGAAGAAGAAGAAAUGAAGGAGGAGGAGGAGGGUGGGGAAGAAGAAACAAAGGAAGAAG